CUACUCAACUUAUUGCGUCAAUAAAUCUGACAUCAGAGACGAUCGAAAUGUGCGCAUGUCGAUCUGUCAACAAGUGGUAAAAACAUUACAACGUUCCGAAUUUAAUGGUCUCUUUCGUCAUAAUAUUUAUAAGUAUAACACCGUAUACCAAGGCCGUAUUUGUAGGGAAAUCGCGAAAUUAAAAAAGGUGAAAAAGGGGUGGACCAGCAGCAUCGAUUUCGAAAUGUGAAAAAAAAAGUAUGAUAAAACGGUAGAUGAGUCAUAUGGAGAGAAAUCAAUCACAGUAGCUGUUGGUUUUUAUUCACUUGCUUUCUCGAGAUACAGAUAGAUAUAUCUAGGCACAGCAUAACAAUCCUUGCUUCCUGGGGUUCACUGUGGAAUAAUAAAGUGUCACAAAACAAUGGAACAUCUGCAAUGAAACAUCAGUUGCCACUCUACAUCAUGUUGUGCUACAGUAUCCAGAUAACGGUCAAUAUUGCUAAAGGCUACAAGAAUUUUUCUGGAGAAGGAUUGAAAUGAAAAUUGGAGCUGCUGUUGAAAAAAAAAGGGCUGUUGGAGAAAAAUCUAGUGAAUGCUUAAAAGAUCUUGCCAGACCACCUGAGUCAAAUUCUGGAGCAGGACUGGUGAGAAAUGAAAAUUUGAGUAAGGAUCAUCAAACAGACGGUACGGCCGUUUCGAGGAUUUACUACACGCUCGGCAAAGGAAAUGUACUGAAUAAUGCGGCUUUGCAUAUCUGGGGGUUACAUUGAAGGCAAGCUGUAUCAAGAGAAGAUGGAAACUACGCUGGCGCAAGAAGAAAGCAGUCGAGAAGAAGUUGUAGAGAAUAGUUGACAAUUUUUGUAUAUUCAUCUGGUUUUGAAGAAUCUUUAGAACGUAGACAAUCGAAAUGUGGAUGAUCUGAAACCAAUAUCGGAAAAGCUAGAAAUUACGCACACAGUAGAGUUUAUUAUUUAAUCAUAAAAUGGAUAAAAUUCAUAAAAGUUGAAGUGAUAUUGUUGAAAAUUCGAGUAUAUAAUUUUAAAACUGCAGUACAUAAAUUCGCACAAACCCUUUUUAUUUUUAGUAAACGUAAAAACACAUUGAAAACAAAUAAAGAAUGAUAGCUAUAAUAGUAAGUUAAACGCCAAGUGUAUCCAAAAUGUGUUUGUGGUCCUGAUUCGCUUUACUGUUUAUCCUCAUGUAGA